GCCCGAGUGGUGAAACGGUAUACACGCAGUGUUCAGAACGCUGUGUCAGCAAUGACGUGGAGGUUCAAAUCCUCUCUCGGGCA
rnacentral:tRNA from 1 species